rnacentral:lncRNA from 1 species
AGGGCCCGCCUGGCAGGACUACUGAGCAAGGCCUUGGAAAAUCGGAGCGAUUAGAGCGGUUCAAACAAUACAGAAGUGUAUAAAGUAAGAAUUGAAAGUCUCUUCGCUGCUCUAAUCUCACUCCUCAGAGGUGAUCACUGCUGUCUUGUUGAUGGGGGCGCACCCUGACUAAUGGCGUGUUGGCAAAGGUUUAACAACAGGCUCCAGAGGAGGGCGGACUUGAAGUGGAGCCUUCAGGGGGCAGUGUGAGGGGUGCUGAUUUCAAACAACUCAUCUGGUAUUACUGAACAUGAAGUUGGGAAGAGAUGUGCAUAAUUGAAGUGGGUGAGAGCCAGUCCAGCACCCUGUGGAGAGUGUGGAAGAUGAUCAAAGUAUGACGUUUCUUCUACCCCAGAGGUUGGCAUUUCUGCAGGCACAAAUGAGCUUGGUUUUCAAGCACCAGUCUUUGAGCACAAGGAAUUCCUUUAAUGAUCACGGGCUAGAUAGACUUUGGAAUCAGACUCUUUGAAUUCCAGCUCUGCCAUUUACCAACUUUGACACUUUGGAUAGGGUCUCAUUCUGUCAGCCAGGCUGGAGUGCAGUGGCACUAUUAUAGCUCACUGCAGCCUCAAAUGCCUGGGCUCAGGCAGUCUUCCCACCUCUGCCUCCUGAGUAGUUGGGACUACAGGCAUGUGCCACCAAGCCCAGCCAAUUUUUCAGUUUUAAAUUUUUUGUAGAGAUGGGGGUCUUGCUAUGUCACCCAGGCUGGUCUUGAACACCUGGCCUCAAGUGAUCCUCCGGCCUCGCUCUCUCAAAGCUCUGGGAUUACAGACAUGAGCCACUGCACCUGGCUCUGUCUCCCCUUCCUAUGUGUGUUGGCUCUAGAACAAGAGAAGCCUUGUUGAGAUUCAUGGCUGCCCCUUGCACCCCAUCACCUCUCUGACUUUGGGCAAGUUGCCUGGUCUCUCUCAGCCUUUAUUUUCUUUUUGUGAAAUGGGGAUAAUAAUAGUACUUGCCUCAUAGGCAAAAUGUUGUGAGAACUAAAUGAGAAAAUACAUGUAAAGCUCUUGGCACUUAGGUCUUUUUAUGAUUAUGAUGAUAAUCACACAUAAUAAAUUAUUUCUCACAUCACA